AUUGAACGCUGGCGGCAGGCUUAACACAUGCAAGUCGAGCGAGAGGCGGACGGGUGAGUAAUGUCUGGGAAACUGCCUGAUGGAGGGGGAUAACUACUGGAAAAGGUAGCUAAUACCGCAUACCAUCGGAUGUGCCCAGAGGGGAUUAGCUAGUAGGUGGGGUAAUGGCUCACCGAGGCGAAGAUCCCUAGCUGGUCUGAGAGGAUGACCAGCAGAACUGGAACUGAGACACGGUCCAGACUCCUACGGGAGGCAGCAGUGGGGAAUAUUGAACAAUGGGCGCAAGCCUGAUGCAGCCAUGCCGCGUGUGUGAAGAAGGCCUUCGGGUUGUAAAGCACUUUCAGCGAGGAGGCGUUGCUCGCAGAAGAAGCACCGGCUAACUCCGUGCCAGCAGCCGCGGUAAUAC
rnacentral:rRNA from 1 species